CUUUCCUUCAAUUUGUCCUAUUUCAUCUAAUGCAGUUACAUUGAACAAAGUAGGAUCAUGAUGAGAACAAAAAUUCCAAGAGGUGCGUGGUGCACAACUAUCAUAACAGCUACUCAGGAGACUGAAGCAGGAGGAUCAGAAGUUUGAGGCCAGCCUCAGCAAUUUAAAGAGACCCUGACUCAGAAAAUGAAAAAGUGAUUUCAAAAUCUCUAUGGUCCCUGGAAUGCUUUUUAUAUCAAUGGGAGAGCUGGGUUCUACUGAAAGUGCUCCUGCGGUUUUGUCACUUGAGGAGGACAUUGCUUCGAUUGCAUAUGACCAUCAUCUCUUCUCCAGUCUAGAAUUAGUGGUACUAUUACUUUUGGGAAAAUGGCCUUGCUGUACUGUAUGGAUUCUAGGGAAAAGGGUAUCAAUACAGCCCUCUGGAAACUCAUGGACACUGAGUCACAUGACCCUGUUAGCCAAACAAAACUGCUACUAUGGGAUUUGUACUUCAUUUAGAAAGAAAUAAGUUCUCUUCUCUUAGACUAGAGGGAUGAGGUGAGCCUGAAUAAUUGCAGACCGUUCUUCGUUACCUGUAGGCUUGCUCAGCUUUCAUCUGUGUGAUAGAAGGAUUGAUUUAUAUAUGCUCAUGCUAGUAUGCUUAGGUGGCAAGGAGUCUAUCUCCCUGGCAGGAUGCCUGUAGCAUGACUCUACCCAGGAAAAAAGAAGUUUCUUCAGAGAAUUUUUUUUCUGAGAUGUUUUCAGUUUUAGUUUUCCCAUUUCCAAGCACUGCCAUCUCUUCUUGCUGCAGGAAAAGUUUGGAAACUAAAAGUCAAGUUUUAUGACAGAUUGCUCAGCAAUCUGUCCUGUGGUUGGGAU